ACGAACGCUGGCGGCGUGCUUAACACAUGCAAGUCGAACGGAAAGGCCCUGCUUGCCGGGUACUCGAGUGGCGAACGGGUGAGUAACACGUGGGUGAUCUGCCCUGCACUUCGGGAUAAGCCUGGGAAACUGGGUCUAAUACCGGAUAGGAGCCAUUUUUAGUGUGAUGGUUGGAAAGUUUUUUCGGUGUAGGAUGAGCUCGCGGCCUAUCAGCUUGUUGGUGGGGUAAUGGCCUACCAAGGCGGCGACGGGUAGCCGGCCUGAGAGGGUGGACGGCCACAUUGGGACUGAGAUACGGCCCAGACUCCUACGGGAGGCAGCAGUGGGGAAUAUUGCACAAUGGGCGCAAGCCUGAUGCAGCGACGCCGCGUGGGGGAUGACGGCCUUCGGGUUGUAAACUCCGUUCGCUAGGGACGAAGCUUUUUGUGACGGUACCUAGAUAAGAAGCACCGGCUAACUACGUG
rnacentral:rRNA from 1 species